AUUCUAGUAUAAGUGUAUCCCAGGUGGUAUUUGGGACAUACUUGUGCUAAAA
rnacentral:miRNA from 1 species